GAUGAACGCUGGCGGCGUGCCUUAUACAUGCAAGUCGAGCGAACGGACGAGAAGCUUGCUUCUCUGAUGUUAGCGGCGGACGGGUGAGUAACACGUGGAUAACCUACCUAUAAGACUGGGAUAACUUCGGGAAACCGGAGCUAAUACCGGAUAAUAUUUUGAACCGCAUGGUUCAUAAGUGAAAGACGGUCUUGCUGUCACUUAUAGAUGGAUCCGGGCUGCAUGAGCUAGUUGGUAAGGUAACGGCUUACCAAGGCAACGAUGCAUAGCCGACCGGAGAGAGUGAUCGGCCCCACUGGAACUGAGACACGGCCCGGCCCCCUACGGGAGGCAGAAGGAGGGAAUCUGCAGAAAUGGGCGAAAGCCUGACGAAGAAACGCCGCGUGAGUGAGGAGGGUCUUCGGAUCGUAAAACUCUGUUACGAGGGAAGAAAAUAUGUGUAAGUAACUGUGCACAGCUGGACGGUCCCGAAGCAGAAAGCCACGGCUAAUUACGU
rnacentral:rRNA from 1 species